rnacentral:tRNA from 1 species
UAGUAGAGGGGGGAGUUUAACCCGCAUGUUUGG